CAGUGGUUGUAAUGAAAUUUUCUAGUCUUUAGAAGUCUAAAAUCUUGCCUGCCAUCUGAAAUAGAACUCGCUCACUCCUGCUUGCAAUGAAGUUUGCCCACAGGACUCCAAGCUUUUUUGACAGGAAUAAAGAACAAUUUUAUUAUAUUAAUAUCUAGUGCUUAAAACUAAAGAAAAGGCUUAGUUAAGGACUGACUAAGAAGAAAGAAACAGAGCUACUACUCCUAUAUAACUUAAAGGUUAUGAGGGAUUCACACCAAAAAAUUGAUGAUGAAGGCAUAGUUUUUACUGGCCAAAAAUGAUGGGAUCUGAUAAGUAAUGGACAAUAUGAUGGACAUAAAAAGCAGUUACAGCAUCAGCUUCUUUCAUGUGAUGUUCCAAACAAACCAACACAUCUUAACUACACCAUUGCCCUGGGACACUGAGAAAAUCAAGUGCUACGGGACUAAGUGUUUUCCAAUUUAUAUCAAGUAUGACAGUGUGUUAAUACAAAAAUGUUGAGGGUGAAAAUGAAAUUUUGAAUCCAGAUGUGCUCCUUCGUCAUUCUGCUAGCAUAAGAGAAAGGAUGUGGUCUACCACAUGUGGCUCAAACACUUCCUCAUCUAGACAAGCUGUCUAAACCAAUGAGUGCUGAGAAUUACACCUUUCCUGGGAUCUAGUCUCCAGUGUUUUUAAUCUUUCUGUGGAGGCAUCAGGGUGUCCAGAUAUCAAGUUGCAGAGCAUCCUCCAGAAGGCAGGAUGUCACCACACCCCCAGAUCACCAUGCAAACUACAUUGGACAAAAGAGGAGUUCAUUUGAAUUAUGUGAAGAGAAGAGGGUGGUCAUUUCUGUGAUCAUCUCACCUUCUUGUGGAAAACCUCUGCAAAAUUUGAGUGUGCAGCCUCCUUCAAUACCACUGCUGAAUUCUGCUUUUGAAUCACUGGGCUGAAUCCAGUGACCAGAUAUUCUGCAAACCCAAGUAACAAAGAGGUGUGGAUACUAACCCAAGAGUGACAUUUAUCUUCAUUAGCACUUUCAGUUGGUUUUAUUAACUACUGAGAAUAAAUAAUUCCCUAUAAUUUUCUUAUACAAAUAUAUAAAAAUAUUCCUAUUCAGUUAUCUUUGAACAUUCAGUUUCCAUCUGCUUUUCUUUUACAGCAGACAUAACAAGAAGGCUCUUAAAACUUCCUUUUAUUAAGAGUAUGUAACUGAAACCACUUCAAAGCAAGAGUCAGGAAAAUAUAAACUAGAUGUUGACUAUUGACUAUAAUUUCCUUUGAAUUGAGAGACUUGUUAUACAUGUUAAAUGGACAGUAUUCAACCCUAACAUCUAACUCCUUUUUUUUUUUUUUUUUUUUUUUUUUUUUUCACUCUUAUCAGACAUUCCGUGGUUUCCACAGAUGCUUUGGUUUACAAGGCGAUAAUUUUCACAAGAACGAAAUAUGUGAGGUUGAUUUUCUAAAUGUCUAUAACAUUUGCAGGCAUAAGACUUCGGUACUGUGGAUUGUUGCUACUUACCUAUUUUAUACCUGUCAAGGAAAAUAAAAGCAUUGAUCCACAGAAGAAAAAUAUUUGAUUGGGAGGAAAAACAUUGAAUGUACUUCCAACAUAACAGUACUUUGAGCCAAGGACUAGCAAUUCUUUCUGAAUAAGCUUCAAUAGGGGAUAUAUUUAUUUCCUUUCCUCCAGAAGUGACUUUAUCAUUAGUCUAAAUUUUGCCCAGUGCUUAUUACACCUAAUUUUUCCAUGAGGACUUUGUCUAGCUUGUGUUUAUGUUCUGUGACAGUAAAUUUCUGAAUGUGAUUCUGGCUGCAUUGGUGAUCUUCAUUAACAGUACUUUGGUAGUGUUUAUUUAAAAGCGUCAGUUGUGAAUAGAAAAGAGAAAGCAUUGGAUCCAAGGGACAGAAAGAUUCUUCUCUAAAUUUGGUACAUGAAAACCUUGACCAGGACUGCUUUGCUGCAGGCACCAUUCAGCAAUCAAUUGCUUUCAGCCAUGUUGUGACACACGUGCACUUUUAGCAACCAAGUAUUACACCAAAAAUCCACUCGGCAUAUGCAAGAGGGAUACAUAAACUAGUAAAGGAGGAUGUACAAAAAGUGAUGUAAAAGAAAGCAGUAUAAAAGCCGCAACACAUGGUUUGCAUUAGAUGACACUGAAUAGCGGUGGUGUGUGAUAGUAAUUUGCUGGUCUGAUCCCUUAGCUUAAUUUCUUAAUCCUUUGCCUUUGUUUCAGUCAGAUCUUGUGUUCUCUGGAGCUCAGUUUGUUAAAUGUGUCCUGUCUUGAUUCAGUCAGUUGUUUAAGAUAAUGACAAAUAUAAGCACACAGUCAUGAAGAAGUCAGUUCAAAACUAUAGUUUCUUUGCAUAUACCACCUCACAGCUGAGCUGGUUAGCCCACUCAACUUCCAGUAUCACCUAUGAUAUCAGCCCUUUGCUUUUUAGGUCCACCAGAAGUGCUAAAGCACAUUCUCGUCAUAUUGAUACUCCUACAUCUAUUCCCAUUGAUUUGACAGAGCAAAAUUCCAAGGAUAAACAUCAAUGUUCGUAAGAAUGGAAAUUGGAGAAGGAAAUAAAAUUGGAUAGAGGAGACUAACAUGUAUGGGACAUGUCAAUGGUCAGGGACAAAUUUACCAGAGGGUGUUCUUUUUCUUCCUUUUGCAUUAUUUCUGCUUGUUGUAGUAUGUCUUCUGUGUCACUUGGCUGGAAGGCAUCCAUAGCCCUGGGCAGCUUCUUGUCACUGUAAGUGUUGGCAUCCAGCUCCAUAGUCAUCAAGUGAUAAGCAGUAAAGUUUUUUAAGACUACCUUAAAACACUUUCAGAGUCCUUCAGAGUCCACACUUCUGUAAAGUACUUUUCUGCAUAUAAAAUUAAUAUUACUAUAUAUAAAUGGUAUCCUUGGGAAUUGAAUUUUGUUUUUUCAUAGGUGCAUUAGAAACUGUUUUACUAGGGAAUAAGAAAAUAUGACUGAAGCAAUAAUAAUCCAACUUUUUUCAGACAAUAAUAAUCCAACAAUAAUAAUCCAACUUUUUUUUUUGUUGUUGUUUUUUUCAGUGCCAUCUGUACACGUCUCAAGAUGACAUCACUAAAUAUCUUCCAUCAUCUUUCGCAGUAGUAAUAUUUUAAACCUUUGUGUCACCAGGCUCGUUACUUUUCUUUAAGGGAAGAAAUCACAUUUAAAUUAGUAAUCUAGAAGUAGCUGAAUUCAGACUUUAUAUUGAAUGCAGCCAUAUUCAUCACUUCCUUUGUAAAUUAAAGUAUGUAAUGGUCACCUCAUGACUCCUUUCAAAUAUCAUAUGUGAUUUUUGCAUCUUGGAAAUUACCACCAGUAGCACUGGGAAAACAGUACAAGUCUGUAAUUUAAGAGGCAAAGUUCAAUUAAAUCUGUUUCAUUCAAUUAAAUCUUUCAAUUAAACUUUUGUGUUUUGACACCUGACACUAACUGAAUGUUUUUAUCAACCUUAUUGUCAGCACAAAAGCUUGGAAUGAUUUUGUUUAGAGCCUGUAGAUGGAUAGCAAAAGAAGAUUUUGAGAUCAAGAUAAUUAUGAGCAGGGUUCUGUGUCACUUAUUUUUAUGUCUAUCACUUUGACAAAAAAAAAAAAAAAAAAA